GCCUGCAUAGCUCAGUCUGGAGAGCAUCAGUCUUUUAAUCUGAGGGUCCAAAGUUCAAAUCCCUGUCCAGGCA
rfam:Sus scrofa breed Duroc isolate TJ Tabasco Contig59_1, whole genome shotgun sequence.